UUAUACCUAUUUUACACGCGCGGUAGCACGUUCGUCGCAUUCGUAUGAGUGGUGUCCGCGGUGAUGGCGGUGUCCGACGAUCUGUGUAUACAGGGCACGUCUAACUGAAAGUAAUUUUUCUAUUCUAACUCACUCGUUUGUAUUUUAGUUUAUUACUGCGUAUUUGAAAACGAAUUAAAAAACACCGUAGGGCAAUUUUGCGUAUAAUAGGUACCUAUAUAUUAUAUUAACAUUUCAUUAUUAAUUCGCUUCACACUAUUCGUACAACACUAUAAUCGUUUAACGAGUUAUGAAAAUUAACAAUUAUUUGCGGAUAUACACAGUGAAACACUCGCGCUGUAUAUUGAAUAAACAACGACGACGUGUGCUGCAUUAUAAUAAAUAAUAUAACUUAUUAUACGUAUUAUUAGCCGACAGUGCGUGCAAAAGUUACCAAUGUCAUAUAGGUACAUCGGUAUAGUUUUGGAUAUACGAAAUACCAAUACAUACUGGACACGAAAACUCAGUAAUCGAUGUCAAACUGCUGUUUGCAGCAUUUUAACGGUGGCGUUAUUUCAGAUUUUAUACCAGGCAGUACCUAGACGACAGAUCGCGGGAGAAAAAUAUCGACUGGCCCUUUAUAUAAAUAAUAAAUACUUGCAGACGAUGGUCUUCUUUUAAAAUUGAUUUUCGUCAUAUUCAACGAUUUAUCAUUGACAAAAUACGUAUAAUUCACUAAUAUUGUCCCUUGCUUCGAUAAUUCGAUGCUCGAGUUUACACGUGUUGGACUGGUUAUUAUAGCAGAUGGUACAGACGUGCAGUAAGACAUGAUGAACGAAUUCAGGAAAUAUGAUCAACCGUCAAAUAAAUAGAAAAGAGCAUUAAAAUGUUAUUCCGAUCGUCAAAACAUUCGCAAUCUUCAAUAUGCAGUUUGUAUUCGAAUCACUCAUUAAUAAAUAAAUCAGUGUAUGUACUUUUUCACUGUAUUGUCAUUAACUUUUGUUGCCAGUUGCUUAGUAUAUAGAUACAUAAAUACACAAUAUACAUUAUGUAUAUAAUAUUUAUAAAUUGAUGUUAAAUUAGAAUUAAAGUUAUCAAGUUAUCAACUAAAUAUUAACUUGAUGUCAUCAAUUAAAUAUUAUAUGAUAUAAAAUAAUUGUUUUAUGUUUUUAAUUGCAAUACGAAUAUCUAAGAUAUUUCUUUUUAUGAUCAUAAAUAAUCAUGAUUCAUAUCAUUAUGAUACUACUAAUUACCAUCAUAUUAUUAAUACAUCGAGAAAUGU